CUCUUGCACUGGCUACGUUAUCUCCAUCUCUUUCUGCGCUGUCACCUCUAAAGGUAUCCUUUUAAAGUAUGGGCUUCUUGUAACUCCUGCCUUAUUUCAUACACAGCACCGGGCUUAGGAUCCUGAAAGGGGGUCUUUGUGUUAGAAAUUCUCUCCGUUUGAGGAAUAACAUCUUGAUUAUCCAGAACUUACAACUGGGUGUUAGCUUGCUCUUCUCGGCUUCAGGACAAAAGGGUGGGAAAGCAAGAAAGAAAAGACAGGAGGAGAGAGGAAGAUGGAGAAAGAGGGAAGAAGGGAGGGAAGUAGGGAGGGGGAAUGA